UACAGAGGUGGCAAGCGUUGUUCGGAAUUACUGGGCGUAAAGGGCGCGUAGGCGGCCUUCUAAGUCAGACGUGAAAUCCCCAGGCUUAACUUGGGAACUGCGUCUGAUACUGGAAGGCUUGAGUGCGGGAGAGGGAUGUGGAGUUCCAGGUGUAGCGGUGAAAUGCGUAGAUAUCUGGAGGAACACCGGUGGCGAAGGCGGCAUCCUGGACCGACACUGACGCUGAGGCGCGAAAGCUAGGGGAGCAAACGGG
rnacentral:rRNA from 1 species